rfam:Triticum aestivum genome assembly, contig: Triticum_aestivum_CS42_TGACv1_scaffold_457287_5DS
AAGGUACUCCCUCCGUCUGGAAAUACUUGUCAUCAAAAUGGAUAAAAAAGGAUGUAUUUAGACGUAUUUUAGUUCUAGAUACAUUCUUUUUUGUUCAUUUUGAUAACAAGUAUUUUCGGACGGAGGGAGUAUAUG